AUGAACGCUGGCGGCGUGCCUAAUACAUGCAAGUCGAGCGAACAGAUGAGGAGCUUGCUCCUCUGACGUUAGCGGCGGACGGGUGAGUAACACGUGGAUAACCUACCUAUAAGACUGGGAUAACUUCGGGAAACCGGAGCUAAUACCGGAUAAUAUAUUGAACCGCAUGGUUCAAUAGUGAAAGACGGUUUUGCUGUCACUUAUAGAUGGAUCCGCGCCGCAUUAGCUAGUUGGUAAGGUAACGGCUUACCAAGGCAACGAUGCGUAGCCGACCUGAGAGGGUGAUCGGCCGCACUGGAACUGAGACACGGUCCAGACUCCUACGGGAGGCAGCAGUAGGGAAUCUUCCGCAAUGGGCGAAAGCCUGACGGAGCAACGCCGCGUGAGUGAUGAAGGUCUUCGGAUCGUAAAACUCUGUUAUUAGGGAAGAACAAAUGUGUAAGUAACUAUGCACGUCUUGACGGUACCUAAUCAGAAAGCCACGGCUAACUACGUG
rnacentral:rRNA from 1 species